rnacentral:piRNA from 1 species
UGGGAUAACAGAUUCAUUGUUGCACUACGG